GACGAACGCUGGCGGCGUGCUUAACACAUGCAAGUCGAACGAAGAGCGAUGGAAGCUUGCUUCUAUCAAUCUUAGUGGCGAACGGGUGAGUAACGCGUAAUCAACCUGCCCUUCAGAGGGGGACAACAGUUGGAAACGACUGCUAAUACCGCAUACGAUCUAAUCUCGGCAUCGAGGAUAGAUGAAAGGUGGCCUCUACAUGUAAGCUAUCACUGAAGGAGGGGAUUGCGUCUGAUUAGCUAGUUGGAGGGGUAACGGCCUACCAAUGCGAUGAUCAGUAGCCGGUCUGAGAGGAUGAACGGCCACAUUGGGAAUGAGACACGGCCCCGACUCCUACGGGAGGCAGCAGUGGGGAAUCUUCCGCAAUGGACGAAAGUCUGACGGAGCAACGCCGCGUGAGUGAUGACGGCCUUCGGGUUGUAAAGCUCUGUUAAUCGGGACGAAAGGCCUUCUUGCGAAUAGUGAGAAGGAUUGACGGUACCGGAAUAGAAAGCCACGGCUAACUACGUG
rnacentral:rRNA from 1 species